rnacentral:lncRNA from 1 species
UCUUUUCCGAUAUGAAAACUGUUUUCAAAGCUAGCUCGAAGUGCUGUAUCCAAUGGCUUAUCGCCGUUUCCAGUGCCUCCCACUCGAUUUCGUCGAUCUCUUCCGGCGUGUACGUUCUCAGGUAGUCUGGAUUCAACUUCAUUAACGCUUUAGCCGCCCUUCUGUACCUUACCUGAAACAUUUAAGAUUCCUUGUAUGUUAUAUCAUAUAUGUAAUCGCUAAUCAAUCCAUCUCAAAAUAACUUCAAUUUUAUCAAAACCUACCUUGACGAAUAUGUCGAUGCAGAUAUCCAAACAAUCGUUAGAACAGAGGAUUUCGGAAAUCCGCUUCAGGAUUUCAAUUUCAAGAUCAGUACCAAGAUCAGAAGACAAGGCAACAUCACCGUCUUCAUCAUCAUCAUUAUCAUCUUCCCUUCGAGAAUCCCCCA